AUCAAGAUUGCAAACCCUACUUUUCAUUCACAACCGUUCAUUACACAUCGAUACUCUCUGCUCUUCUUCUCUAUGUGUUCAGAGGUGAGGUUACGUAUGUCUCAUCAUAUCAUUUGCAAUUUAGUGUUAGCCUAACCUUAAUUUUCUUCUUUUCUUCAAACCCUAAAAUCGAUUGUUCUUUGUUGAAGAUUGAAGAUCGGCGCUUUAUGUUCAAUCGAUUUCAACAUGUUUGUUUGGAUUUUGUUUUACUUUGUUGAUGUAUGUAAAAUUAAUUUUUUUAAUCUAAAUUGCAAUCGAGUAAUGUUAGAAAACGAUGAUUUCAAUUUGGAGGAUGGUAAAUUGAAGCAGUGAGCUCCUCAAACCAGAACCACGAAUACGUUAUCCAACCUUCAUGUCUCUGUGAUUAAAGUUUAAAGACACACACUAACUGUUUGAUGAAAUGCUUCAACCAAAAUUUAAAGAUGCAAAUUACUUGCCUGUGAGUUUUUGCCAUGGACAUCAUCUGGAAAUAAAAUGCCUGUGAGUUCUUGCCUCCUAGUUAGACUUCUUUGUUUUUCAAAUUAAAUGUUUGUGAUCUGUAACAAGGUUUCAAUAUUUUAGUUUCGAAAUCUGUACAUGGUGUUGGUAGAUUCAUCUGCGUUUGAUAUGCUGGUAGAUGAAUCUGCAUUUGUCGUGAUGUUUUGUAGAUAAUUAGUUUGUCAAAUAUAAUUACAAAGUCUAUAUUGUAUAGAUGAUAAUUAUUUUUUUAAUGAAAUCAUUUGGAGGUUUUUCGUUAAAAAUACACUUUGGCCUUCUUUCGAAAUGUUUUCUCUUCAUCUCACUUUUUCUAACUUCACCAUAUGCUUAUUGAUCUAUAUGUUAACUAUGAUUGUGAUCUUGAAGCUCCUAAUUCGUUUGAAGCUCCCAAACACCCUCAGAAGAGGUUGAAGGUUGGUAGUAUUGGCUGCAAGAAAUUGUAUUCCCCAUAGUAUAAAUUUGAUUGUUACGUUUCAAUAUAAAACCGACGUUGAUGUAUUCUCCUUCCUUUAAUGCUUUCACUUUAAUGAACAACAAUUUUAAAUCUUUCAAAAUGGCAGAUUUUGCUAUUGAUGAUGAGUAUUAGUUUCUUAAAUAAGGUGAAAGCUUCUUGUAAUCACCGAUUUCUUAAUCGUUUUUAAAGCCAUAAGAUUCGUAAUUGUAAAUUAAAUGCUUUUUAAAAUCCUUUUUUUUGGUCCGACGUGAUGGCUUUAUUGUCUUCUGAUGAGUGUCUUUUCACGCAAGGUGGAAGCAUAUCCAAAACUGGUAUGACUGAUUUGAAAUAUAUGUUGAACAUUGUUCAAAAAACUUAACACAACUAUCUGUACCAACUUACAGAAACAUUAGUGUUUAUGAAUUCAAAGUGAUGGGAAUUUGGGAAAUAUGAAUAUGAUCUUUAUGAUAUAAUGGCUUGCUUCAGGUAUGUGGCGGUCGUUGAAGCUCACACGUAUAAAGAAACAUUUGGAUGCUAUGUGGCUUUAAUUUUAAAGAGGUUUCGCCGGCUCUAUGCCAUGCUAAGCUAUUGUUUUCAAGGGGAUGAACUUUGUUUCUGAAGAAGAUUAUGGUGUUAGAUCGUUGUUGUUUACUGUAGGGGCGGACCUAGGUUAUCCCCUUGGUGGGCGGGCACACCUAAUGGAUUUUAUUCGGUUAGUAUACAUGUAAGAUGUGUCCCUUAUGAAAUUUUGAUAACGCACCCCAUGAGCGAAGAUGAAAGAACAGAACAAAGGAGGAAAAUUUUCGGUGGACAGAAAAGUUGUAGAGGUAUUGGAGGAGCUCGAAAGAUUAAAAAGGAAAAAGAAUUUUAAGUGAGAAAAGAAGGAAGAUGAUUCUUGUAUUCAGUUCACCUCGAAAAUUGAAAUUGCAGUACAUUGAAAAUUAUAUUAUAUUCGAUUUAAAUAAUCUAAAAGAAUGACAAA